rnacentral:Y_RNA from 1 species
AGCUGGUCCGAAGGUAGGGAGUUAUCCCACUCGAUUGUUCACAGUCAGCUACAGAUUGAACUCCUUGUUCUACUACUUUUCCCCUUCUCACUACUGCACUUGAAUAGUCUUAA